AUUAGACCUCGAAUCAGAUGGGACUACCCGCUGAACUUAAGCAUAU
rnacentral:rRNA from 1 species